GGACCCGUAGCUCAGCUGGAUAGAGCAACUGCCUUCUAAGCAGUAGGUCUCUGGUUCGAAUCCAGACGGGUUCA
rnacentral:tRNA from 1 species